rnacentral:rRNA from 1 species
GGUACUAGGUGUGGGGUCCAUUCCACGGGUUCCGUGCCGUAGCUAACGCUUUAAGUACCCCGCCUGGGGAGUACGGCCGCAAGGCUAAAACUCAAAGGAAUUGACGGGGCCCCGCACAAGCGGCGGAGCAUGCGGAUUAAUUCGAUGCAACGCGUAGAACCUUACCUGGGUUUGACAUGGAUCGGGAGUGCUCAGAGAUGGGUGUGCCUCUUUUGGGGUCGGUUCACAGGUGGUGCAUGGCUGUCGUCAG